rnacentral:lncRNA from 1 species
UCAAAGUUAGUCAUCAACAAGCAACAAGCCAACUCCAAUUGAGUGUACAUCAUUAAGCAUAAGCAAUUGUGAUCUUUGACCUGAAACAAAGCUCAAAUGUGAGAGCACAAACCACUAGUACAAGACUAGGGUCAAAAGAUGAGCAAUGAACCAAAACAGAACAUGAAACUUAUCCAAAAUCAAGAUCAAUCAAAUAAGAAUCCAAUCCAAGUGGUUUCACAUUCAUAUCAUCAACCAUUGUCAUUUCAUGAAGCAAAGAGUACAAAACAUGCAAUUAGAAGCUCAUAGAACCAAACAGAAUGAUUCAACUCAAAUCAACUCACAAACAUUUCA